AAACUCAGUUGCAUCGUGUACAGCGAAGGUGCGGCCUUUGGUCAGGAUUCAGGUAGUGUAAAGUGUAGUAGAGUAGUCGCAAAAGUGAAUGUCGCGGUUUAGCUGAUAGUUUUGUAUAAAGAGAGCCAAAUGUGGGUAAUGGUUAUUGGAAAAAGCCACUUUUGUCAGCUCAGUGUUGUAGAAUUGUUAUUUUCUAACUUUUUUAUGGACAAGUUUUUGUUUUAUACAUGUUUUAUUCACUUAUAUUUGGGUUACUGGCUGUUCGGCGCCGUUUUUGUGACCUAGUGAAGUAGUGAUGCAGAAGAUAGAGCGAGGGAAAUGAAUUACCGCAAUACAAAGCGUCUGUUGAUUCGAUAGGAUUCGUAAUGAUGCUAGACAUCAACGAAAAUCCGAAGCAUAAAGUGCCAUUCACACUGCUGGUCCUGUGAGCGGCAUAAUGUGGGAUCGAGGAAGGUUUUUGCGGCAGGCGGAGCUGUGAAAGAUGCGCAACGUCAUUCGCUCUAUGGCGUUCAAGAGUUAACGUUCUCUGGGACUCUCCACUCGGAAAGCAGCAACAGACAAAGCACCUAGUCGAUAUCGACCGCGCAGUCUCGCUUCUAAAAAAAUAUCUCGACGUCAUUUUCGCUGCUCAUUUCGCUGACCGUUCUGGGAUAAUAAGAAUUGGGUGAACCAAAUGGGUUACUUAGUUGAAGCGCAGCAGCGGACGAAGAACUUGGAUCGACUAUGACUUUUGCUCGUGCGCAUUAUACAGGUUCGUCUGCAUCCGAGGUAAAACGAAGAUGGAAUUUGGAACCGUUCUCGAGUGAAAAGCGGUUAACCCGAGGCCAGAAUGGAGUUGAAUACACUAAUUAUAAUUAUUAUAUCAUAUAUAUUAUAAAUUAUAUUUCUAUUCAUAACAUUUAUUCCCAAAAUAUUUCUAUUCAUAACAUUUAUUCCUAAAAUUGCCAAGCAUUCUGUCCAACUUGUAUUAUGAAAUUCGAGUGAUUGAUGCCGGUACCCGUAAAACCAGAAGUUAUACCCCUUGCAUACUAACUGCACUAGAAUAUUUACUACACUGAAAAUUCGGUGCGCCCCAGGAUAAUGUCCUUUUAUUCUCGGAUUUGCCUAAUUCGAAUUCUGUCUAAACUGGUAUUGGCUAAAGUAGACUAGGUCCCCAUUCAUACGGAUGUGGUGUGCGAUAGUUUGAUCCGUAUGUCGCUAUAACUCUUUCAACGAGAUGGUGAACGUAUAAAAAUGCCUUUUCAUU